AACUCCAAGAAAUGUUUAAAGCUAACGUAUAAACUCCUGGCACAUAAUCUUCCUUGAUUUCCAGAUCAUUUGAGGCAUUACUAAACAUGUCUGGGGUUUCCAUGAAGACAUGGUUUUGCUUUUUUUUUUUCUUCUCCUCUUGCCCUCCUCUCAACUUGCAGAGAACUGUACAUUUUAAUAUUUUGUUCUUCCCCACCCUCCCCCCAGAUAUUCCUUAGUGAAAAUAUGCACAUCAGUGCACAAACAUCACAUGGAUUGAUUAUUAAAGAUUAUAAAGGUUAAAAGUUAUUCCUUAGCUCAGUAGACAAGAUAUUCAUUCACCUUCUCGUAGCUCUAAAACAAGACUCCUGAUCUGUCACUUUCAUAAGUCAUUCUCCAGUGAGUCCAUGCCAGACAAAAAUCAAAGAACAAGUUAGCACUGAACCGGUUACAGAUUAGAAGUCAGGUGACAGCAGGCCCCAUUGUUUCUUCUAGAAUGUCCCCCAAGCUGGUACACUGCUGUGCAUGGGUAAGCACGCCCAUACUUGUUGACAGAAUUAUUUUUAGAAAGUAAUGCUUUCCCAUUUAUAAAACCCAGAGAGAGGCAGCAUGAUGUGUAGGCGGUAUUUCUCAGCCCCGGCUUCCGAUCAAAAUUACCUGUGGAGCUUUUAAAAAUCUGCAGAUGCCAUGACCUCACUCUGCACCAAGGGUUCUCAGCCAGGGCUGCACACAUGAAUCACCUGGGGAGUUUUUGAAAACUAGGACACCUGCCAAGGGGCCCCUCCCCGACUGAUGGCAUCAGAACCUCAGGAGAUUGGACCAAGAGAGAGGCAUUGCUUAAUCAGCACUCCAGGUGAUUCUAAUAUAUAGCCAGGCCUGAGAACCACCGAUGGAGAAGGAUUGAAGUCAUUUAUUCAUUUAACAAAUAAUUGCCAGCUGCUAUGAUAUGCCAGGCCUUGCUGGCAACAUAGCAUUGAAGGAAAUAAACACUCCCUGCUCUCCUGCACUUAGAAAUCUGAGGCAAAAUCCUCAGGAGUGUGGACUAGGCAGCUGCAAUUUCUAAAAGCUUAUCUCCCAAGGUUGAGAAUCAGAGGGUAAAGGGCCGGAUUUGAAUCUUGGUUCUUCUGCUUAUUGGCUGUUUGAUCUGGGAUCCGUCACUACACCAUGGAGAUAGGCAGUCAAAUUAGCAAGAGGAGUCAAAAUGGUCAGAUCGGUUCUCAAAACAAAGGAUGUCAUGGGUAAGCACAACAGGCAACAAUUUCUCCACCAUAAAAGUAGAAUAAAACAUCACAGAAACCACAUGUUAAUAACAACAAAUCAAAAUGCCGAAUAGAAUCGCAAAAUUUGGGAGACUUUAUUGCUAACGUGGUUAUGGAGAAGCUUACCAGGAAAGAAUAUUUCUUCAAUAGCUGAUUAAGAGUAGUUUUUCUUAGUGAACACAGGUACCCAUUGGAAAAAUUAUCAGAAGGUAUAGGUCAUUUGAACAAGAGUAUAAUUAGUCUUGGAGAAACUCAAACUAAGCAAAAUCAAGAUUUUCAUCAAAACAUAAUUUCUUAAAUGUUUUGUAUCCUUUCUUUCACUGAGAAGAUAAAAAUCUCCUUUUGCUCCCUACACCCCCCCCCCCCGCCCCAUGUGUGCGCACGGUUCAACUGAGGCUAGGAGAAAUUCUCAGACCAGGGUGGGCAGUUAUUGUAUAAGACUCCUCGUUCUCUUUUGCCAAGGCUUUUUAAUCCCUAUGUACCAAUCUUCCCUGCUAGUUCAUGAAAAGAGGAUCCCAGCUGUGCCAAAUCGUGUGAUAGCUAUAUAAUCUAGACACAAUCCACAGGGGUUGAGAACAGAAAUUAACAAAUAUAUUUAAGCUUGAAUCUUUAAAGAAUGUCUGCUAGUUUCCCAAACAUUCAUGGACCAGAGAGUCUAUCUUCUUGCUUGAGAAGAACACAAGAAUGAAGAUGACUAUGAGAAAGGUCUUCCAGAAUUGGAUUUUGCUUAUGCCAAAAAUGUCCACCUUCUGUGGGCACUAAAGCAGAACAAACAUUGGACUGAGAAAUAGAUGUCUUGGGUUCCAGUACUGAAUUUGCCACCAACCAGUUGUAUAAUCUCUGCCAAUUUCCUGCAAUUCUUUGGCGGAGAUUCCUGUCUAUAAAAUGAAAAAAAAAAAAAA